rnacentral:rRNA from 1 species
UACGGAGGUGGCUCGCGUUACUCGGCAUUAUUGGGUGUAAAGGGCAAGUAGGCGGCAUAAUAAGUGGGGGGUGAAAUACUCCGGCUCAAUCGGAGAACAGCCUUCCAAACUGUUGUGCUUGAGUAUGACAGAGGAAAAUGGAAUUCUAGGUGUAAGGGUGAAAUCUGUAGAUAUCUAGAAGAACACCAGCUGCGAAGGCGAUUUUCUGGGUCAUUACUGACGCUAAAUUGCGAAAGCUAGGGGAGCAAACAGA